rnacentral:rRNA from 1 species
CCCCUAGAUGUUCUGGGCCGCACGCGCGCUACACUGAUGCAUUCAACAAGCCUAGCCUUGACCGAGAGGUCCGGGUAAUCUUUGAAACUGCAUCGUGAUGGGGCUAGAUUAUUGCAAUUAUUAAUCUUCAACGAGGAAUGCCUAGUAAGCGUGAUUCAUCAAAUCGCGUUGAUUACGUCCCUGCCCUUUGUACACACCGCCCGUCGCACCUACCGAUUGAAUGGUCCGGUGAAGCCUCCGGAUUGGCGCGCACCUCGGUGCCGCCGAGAAGUUGGCUAAACCUUACCAUUUAGAGGAAGGUGAAGUCGUAACA